CCUCUUGUAGUAUAAUGGUAAAUUACACACACCGGAUGUUCUUGAUCUCCUUGAUGCGUGUGGGAUCUGGGUUCGAUUCCCAGCGAGAGAG